rnacentral:rRNA from 1 species
UACGUAGGGGGCAAGCGUUGUCCGGAAUCAUUGGGCGUAAAGAGCGUGUAGGCGGCUCGAUAAGUCUGCUGUGAAAGUCCAGGGCUCAACCCUGGAAGGCCGGUGGAAACUGUCGGGCUAGAGUCCGGAAGAGGCGAGUGGAAUUCCCGGUGUAGCGGUGAAAUGCGUAGAUAUCGGGAAGAACACCAGUGGCGAAGGCGCUCUACUGGGCCACAACUGACGCUGAGGGACGAAAGCUAGGGGAGCGAAAGGG